CGGAAGAGGGAGCCGUGGUUUCCGGAACUUCUCCCGCCCCUCCGGGCUUUCCCUCUGUUGGGCAGGUGGCGAUUCGGUGUCUUUGCUUGUUACGGCGGCUGCCGUCGCCCUGGAGACAGGUAACCCUCUUCCAUGACUGUUCCUUAGGUCUCACUACAAUCCUGCUAUGCAGAAGUGGCAUGCUGUCCCAAUGGACCAUGCUCUACCUUUCCAAGCUGCUAGAACUAUCAGUGUUUCUCAGCCUCAGCACUAUUUACAUUUUGGGACCAGGGAUUCUUCAUUGUUGGCAGAGGGGAGGGUGUUGACCUGUGCACUGUAGGAUGUCAGGUGGCAUCCGUGGCCUCUACCCACUAGGUGCCAGUAGCACCUAAUGUGCCACCCCCCCCCCACAACUUUUCCACCAAACUAAAAUGUCUCUAGAGGUUGCCAUAUAUCCUCUGGGGGACAAAAUCACACUUAGUUGAGAACCACUGUCCCACAUUCUACACACAGAAGCCAAAAGGAUAUUUUUUUAAAUGUAAAUGGCAUCAUGUCAUUCCCCUGUCGGAAACCCUUCAGUGUUUCCCUAUUGACCUUAGAAUAAAUCUCAAGUUCCUUACUGUGGCUUAGACCUUCUGUGGACUGGCCCCUGCUUGUUUUUAACUCCUCUCUUCCGUUCUGCUUCCAUGUCUAUAUAAUUGCUUCUCUCUCACUCCAGCCACACUGGCCUUCUUUCUGUUCCUUGAACAUUCAAAGCUGGUUCCCAUCCACCCUUUGUAUUUGCUGUUCUUCUGCCUAGAAUGCACCUGUUCCAGAUCACUGUUCAUUCACACAUAUCUCAGAUUAAAUGUUAACUAAUCAGCAAGGCCUUCCCUGACCAUUUUAUCAAAAGAAGCCCCUUACUUCCAUUCCCUAACACAU
rnacentral:lncRNA from 1 species